GGGUAGUGGUGGUGGAGCAGGAGGGGUAAGAGGAAGGGGGGGAGGGUUGUUAGGAUUUACGGGGCGUACAGGGAGCGUAGGCGGUUGGAGAAGCCCUCGGUGAAAUCGGGAGGCUGAACCUGGAAAGUGCAGAGGGGACUGGUCAGCUAGAGGAUGGGAGAGGAGCGCGGAAUUCCCGGUGUAGCGGUGAAAUGCGUAGAGAUCGGGAGGAAGGCCGGUGGCGAAGGCGGCGCUCUGGAACAUUUCUGACGCUGAGGCUCGAAAGCGUGGGGAGCAAACAGGAUUAGAUACCUAGUAGUC
rnacentral:rRNA from 1 species